GGCUCUUCUCUCAGCAGCACUGCCCUGCUGUGGGCACUGGAAGGGACUGAGCUCCAGCCUGGCUCACUUUCAGCCAGAGAUGCUUGCCAACAGCUUUGCUCCUGGGAAAUAGCCAGAGCUUCCCAGACUGCCUGCCUGCUGGAGUCACUUGUUCAUCUGCACCAUCAUCCCAUCACAGAGGCACAGGAUGGGACAGAGGGAGCUGCUGGGACACAAAGAAUAAUCAGGAUGAACUGAGCCCACGCUGCACACCUGGCGCCACCGAGGCUCUGCCAGACUGGAAGAAAAAAGAAGAGAGGGUAAAAUUCCUGUGCCCACACAAGAUCUUUUUAUAGCCAAAGGGAAGAGGCACUUACACACAGAGUGAUGGCACCCAGAGCUGCAUCUGAUCAUGUCCCCCUCCUGCAGCACCUGCCCCUCUGCCUGAGCCUUCCGUGUGCUGCUGCUGUGGAACAAACACCUUGCAGAGCAAAACCUGCUGGAGACACAGCACCACCACUGAGCGAGACCAGAAGGAGUGAAGUCAUUCACCAGGGAUGGGGCCCCUGCCAGCAGCCUUGCCCUCUGUGGCCCUUGGACCACAGGAUAAAUCUCCCUCCAGCUGAUGGUCCAGUUAGGGGAAUCAGACUGCCUACAUUUUUUUCUGAAUCCAUUUAUUUAUUUUGGGACUGAGACACCAAGGGCACCAAGGCAGCGCUGCCAACCAAUUACCAUCACUAUUGAUCACUUCUGUACCCAGCUUUCUGGGUCAGGCCUGCUCUAAUUUUGCUAGGGACAGCCAAAGACCUGGAAAUCAUAGCUCUCAGAGAUGUCCCUGGGGCACAGAGACAGCUCAUCCAGGUUCAGAAACUCUUUCCAAAUGCCAUGUAUGAGCUGGAGGCAGGUACUCUGCUCUCCUGCAUGGACCACUGAUGACUGAACACCAGCUUCCCCCAUUAGCCCAUCAUAAUGCCUGGAAACCAUUUCUGACUAAUGCUGUUGCAGAGGCCACAGAGCCCUUUGCCUAAGGAAAGAGGAUGGAUUGCUUUUCAGAAUAAAAAAAAUUGUUUUUUGGAUUAAGUGAGGCAAUGGGAGGGUGGGUUAGGACACUGAACAGUAAAGCUCACACAGUUGAGAC